AUAAAUACUAACCACUCUUGAAGAUAAAUAAAAAUAAGUUCAAACGCGUCCUUCGGAAGGCUAAUGCCUAGCUCUUCCUGAAGCUCUCUCCUAAACGCAUAACAGUAAGAAAAAUUAGUUUAAUAAAAAAAAGUUAUUUUUAUGCAGCAAGAAAUUAAUUGACAAGAUAAUAAAAUAAGAAAAACUGUCACAAAUUGACUCACUGAGCGGACACAAGUGAAGAAUCGCCAGCAGAAAUAUGGCCGGCGCUUGAGAUAUCCCAUCGGCCUGGCCAGGAAUCCUUGCAAUCGGCGCGACGUUGAAGAAGCAAUUCUUGUGUGCUUUCGGAGUAAAUCCACACGUGAACUGCUC